CAGAUAUUACAAAUUUAUUGAAAACUAUAUAACAUUUUUAAACGUAAGCUUAUGUAAAGACAAAAAAUCAUAUCUGAAGUAUUAAUUAAAAUAAAAGUGUUUGAUUACUUAAAAGAAAUUAAUAACUAAAUGAUUUUGAAAAUUUAGACAAUGGAAUAUGAAAAAAAUGAUCAUUAGUUUGAAAAAUCUUAGGUUCAAACUGUUUUCGAGCAAAUAUUAGAAGGGUCAAUAGGGGUCAGUUGAACCCCUUCUCUUCAAUGUACCUCCUCUACUGCUCUAAAUUACUUGCGGUUGCUAUCAUCUGCGUCGGAAAAUAGAUCCAGAUCGACCUAUAAACCUUAUAGUGUGUGAACCAACAUUGUAAUUUUGACUUUUGCAGUGAAAGACAAAAGCACUGUAGAUGUCAAGUUCCUAAAUCAUACAAAAAAAAACAUGAAGUAAAACUUGUUUGUUUUAUUCAACUAAUGUAAAUAGAAAAUUAUUUCUUAAAUCCAUUACUAACUAGUCAAGCACUGACAUUGACUAAACAUGCCUAAUUCUUAAGAUGUGGUUGUUUAUAAAAUGCCAUAAUUUACAAUGUAAAAAAUGGUAAACUCUCUUCAGAUAGUGCCAUAUUAGUUGUGGAGAGAAAGACGUGUAGCAUUUAUUUGUUUUAAAAUGCUUAACAGAAAACAUAAAAUCUAAUAGUAUAGUAAGGCCAAAACCAAAAUGAAACUCUAAUUUUUUUUACAUGUAUUAGUUAUUGCUUCAAGUUGCCAAUAAAUUGGUUCAUGUGAGAAAGCUUACCAUUCGUUACAAUUUCAAAGUUCAACCGUCCAUGAAGAUCACUUCUCUCAUCGACCGGCAAAGAUCCCUUGCAACUUUUGACUUGUUCCGGAGAUCAAUUCAUUUUCAAGCAACCCAACCUCUAAAAUGCAAUUAAAACUUACUUUUGCCAGUGUCGCAUUUCAGCAUUUGAGAUCAUCAAAGACAGGAAAGUAAAAAGAGUAAGUGACACGGCAUUAUCUCUGAUCCACUACGGCUCUACAAAAUUGAAAAAAGAAGCAAUAUGUAUAAAUAUUGGUUCUAACGAAUUGGUGAUACCAAACAUGAAGAUGGAAUGCAAAAUCAUCGAUAUCGACGAAGUUAGUUUCAGAAAAGUCGAAAACCACUCGAAGAAUUCUUUUCUAUUUUUCUAAUUUUUUUACUUGUGACUUGUGAGCAUGAGAACUUUUUAUAAGAAAAAAAUGAACAAGGCUCGCCAGGUUGAUCGCACCAGAGACAUAAGGUAGGGAUUUACAACCCAUUUUAUACCCUCUAUUAUAGUAUUUAGCAAAAAAAAUUAGUCUAACUCACUAAUUAUAUAUAGUUCUAAACAUAAAAAUAACAUCUUAAAAGCAUAUCUUGAAAUAAUUUUUUAUUUGAC
rnacentral:lncRNA from 1 species